rnacentral:rRNA from 1 species
GACGAACGCUGGCGGCGUGCUUAACACAUGCAAGUCGAACGGAAAGGCCCUGCUUUUGUGGGGUGCUCGAGUGGCGAACGGGUGAGUAACACGUGAAUAACCUGCCCUUGACUUUGGGAUAACUUCAGGAAACUGGGGCUAAUACCGGAUAGGAGCUCCUGCUGCAUGGUGGGGGUUGGAAAGUUUCGGCGGUUGGGGAUGGACUCGCGGCUUAUCAGCUUGUUGGUGGGGUAGUGGCUUACCAAGGCUUUGACGGGUAGCCGGCCUGAGAGGGUGACCGGCCACAUUGGGACUGAGAUACGGCCCAGACUCCUACGGGAGGCAGCAGUGGGGAAUAUUGCACAAUGGGCGGAAGCCUGAUGCAGCAACGCCGCGUGCGGGAUGACGGCCUUCGGGUUGUAAACCGCUUUCGCCUGUGACGAAGCGUGAGUGACGGUAAUGGGGAAAGAAGCACCGGCUAACUACGU